CGGCUACCGAAACAGCAGUCAUGUCGUCGGUCGACUCGGAUAAACUCGCGACCUCCAUCCGCGCACUAGCCGGCAGUCGCGACGAGCGUAUCGCCUUUGUGACGGAGGGCGUGAAGCAGGCAAAGGAGUUGCAGGGCAAAAGCGUGCAGGAGUAUGAGAUGGUGGUGUCGUCGCUGCUUAUGUGUCUGGAGAGCUUUGAGGUGGUGCACGGCACGUCGCUUGAUGUGCUCUGCGAACUCACUGUCCUGGACAUUCUGCUAAACCUAGACUUGUCUGUCAUCCAGCUGUCGCAGUGUAACAGCUACUUGCGGCUUUGCCUCAUGGCGGUGAAUGAGAUUCCCGUCGCUGUGGCAGCUGCAAAGACGUUCGCGCAGACGCUUAGCUACAGCAUGACGACGGACUUUGUGCGCACUCAAAUCGGAGAGACACUCGAGUGGAUUUCGCUCUCCGACGCCAAGUCGCAGCCUCGUCGCAUUUGUGGCAUCUUGGUGCUCACGGAGGUAGCGUUGCGCAUUCCAAUGGUAAUUCUGCCGCGGCUCUCCGAGGUGUUCGACAGGGCUUGGGACUGCUUGGUGGUCCACGACGAGGAGGUCCGCUCACGCGCUCUGUGUCUCUUCACGCUAUGCGCAAAGCUGCUGGUCAACCGCCCUGCCGCCAUUCGUGCUGAAACCUGCGACGCAUUGAUGUCACACCUGAAGGGUAACCUCGCCUCUAAAUCGAAGGGCAAACGCAUUGCUGGCCUCCUUGCAUUCGAGCCCAUCGUCAUCAACUCGAUCGGCACCAGCAACAUACGCUACGAAGACCUCUCCAACCUUCUAGUCCCCUACAUUAUGGGGGGCGGCGCCAACGUCAACGCCGACACGCGCGAGCUCCUGUUCCGCUGCCUGGUUGUCCUCUGCCGCUUCAGUGCACCACAGUUUGUCGCGCACCAGCUCAAGGAGAGCGUGCGCUUCGCGCUGGAUUCCAUCAACCGCAACAUUCAGCGGAACACCGCCUUCGAGAUGCUCUCUGAGAUCAUUCCGAUUGUAGGCAAGACAGAGUUUGCGCCCUUCGUAGACGACACGUGUGAAGUAAUCAAGACCAUUUUUGAGAAGUCUCCGAGCCCGUGCUGGAAGGCGCUGCAGUGUUUCUCCAUCAUCUGCAAAGAGUGCCGGCCAUCCAAGAUGGAGACAUACGUGGAGUCGUGCAUCGAGAACGUGUUUGUGUGGGGCCUUUCCGCGGAGCUGAUUGAGUGCAUGCGCGCCAUCAUCGAGUCGUCGAGCGUGCAGUACCGAGCAAAGCUGGAGGAGUCGCUGCUUGACAUGAUCUCCGUCACACUAUGCGGUCUCCCAUUUCGACAGCAGAUCGACGCGCCGCGCGUCAGUGAGAGCUCUACGGAUGUGAGCGCCUCCGAGUAUCAGAUCUCCGUUGCCCUGAACGCCCUCAAGCAGUUCGGCUUCUCCAACUCGGAGCUCAUGGGCGACUUUCUGCGCGUCUCGGUGCUGCCUUUUAUCGACAACAACAGCGUCGCGGUGCGCAACGCAGCUGUCUAUACGAUCGUCAAGCUUCUCAUCCCCCCUGGCGAGAAAGGCGACCUCAGUAUCGCACGUCGCAUGUGCGUCAACACCGUCAUCACGCGCAUGCUGGUCGUUGGGUUGUCAGACCCCAAUCCUGUGGUGCGUCAGACCAUUCUGAGUGCCUUUACAGAGGACUUUUAUCCAUACCUUAGCGAGCAGCAGUAUCUCUUUCGCUUCUACUCUGCCCUGGGUGACGAAUCCAUCAACUGUCGCGUGGCGGCGACGGAGCAGCUGUGCCAGAUGAUCCGCUAUGACCCAUCGCACAUUCUGCCUGCGCUACGAGAGGAGAUGGUUGUCAUUCUACACUUCAUUACGUCUACCUUCAAUAUGGACACCGUCCAAAACGGGUUCCGCCUCCUCGCCGCGAUCGCCACUCGCGCGCCGCAACUCGUAGUGAACUUUACGGAAGGCAUCUGCGAGGCUCUGGCGCCGUACUUUAGCACUCUCUCCUCCCGCUCCGGCAUUCUCCUGUCGUUCUUGCACUGCUGCACAGCCGUCGCGGCGGCGCUCCGGAAGUUUGGUAGCACCCCCUUCUCCUCCAAACGUGAAAUCGCUCUUGUGUGUGAGCUGCUGGAAACCUUGCCGGCGGACCGGUCGUAUCACAUCAUCCGGCUGUCCUGUCUCCGCUUCCUCUCGGCAACCCUUGCGCCGCUCAUGGAAGGUGCCUCGCCUUACGUGCUGUAUCCUCGGCUCUUUCAACAACUCUGCACGGUGCUGCACAGAACAGAGGAGAGCGUCGACAUUCGCCUUGAAGCGCUGCGGUGCAUUGGCGUGAUCGGUGCGCUGGACUCGCACGUGUUCCAGUCGUUCAAUCUCAACGAGAAGGAGAAGGCGUCUGGGAUGAGCGCGGUGGUGGUGGACAGGGUGACACACGUGAAGUGCUGCCGUAUUGUGCUCUGCGCUGUGGCAGCGCUGCUUGACCCGGAGAGCAAGCGCUCCGCCGGCGCGCGCGAAGGGCUCCUGCGCACGGGUGUGCAGACGAUGCUGAACAUCUUUGAGCAUGUUCCGUGCUCCAAGAGUGAAAUCGGUCUCGUGAUCGGGCCGCUGGCCCGCGUCAUCCGGCAGCUGCCUGGCGGCCGCCUCUUUGCGACCGUGCUCUUCGAGUUCUGCAACAUCAUUCGCUACGGCGGUGCGGUGGUGCUCAACGAUUUGAAUGAGAUUUACCGCGUAUUUGACAACGUAUGGGAGUUCCAGGUCAACUACCGAUUUCUGGCCGUGCGCAUGCUCUCGUUUGUCGCCAACUUCGAAGCCUCCGGCAAUUUGCACUACGGCCAGCAGCACUCGCGCAUCCUGCCGCAACUCUUCGACACGCUCAACCGUGCUGACCUGCGCGCCGACCUCAAGUACGCCGUACUUGAGUACAUUGUGCGUCAUGUCGACUCCCUGCAGCCGUGCACGGAGGCGGCGGUGGAUAACCUGCUCGGCGCCAUACAGAACCCGGCAAAUCCGCUUGACUUUGUGAACCACUGUGUGGUGACGCUUAAGGAGAUCUGCGUCAAGCUGUAUGUCGAUGAGCUCGUCGGCGCUAUUGUUCGAUGUCUGCUGGCAUGCCUCUCCGUCGACCUUGCACGCAAGACACGCGGACGCGAUAGUAUUGCUCUCUGCAACAACAUCAUGGGGGUCUUCUGCGUCCUGAUCGAGGAGCUGCAGGGCAAUUUUCUCAAGUACUCAACGUACAUUAUUCAGGCCUUGAAGAACUACCGCAUCACAAACACGGAGUUUGGCGUAAUGAACAACCGCGUCGCCACCGGCCUCCGCUGUGCACGCAGCGCAAUGUCGAUCCAGCAACAAAACGCGGAGGUGGCCGCGCUACUGAAAACAUGCGAAUCUGUCGUGAUGAAGAGCAUGUCGCGCAUGGGCGAGGUCUGGAGCUACGCGAACCUCAACGACGACAACGCAAAUGCAGGGGCCGCCGAGGAGCGCACCAUGCCCAUCAACGAACAGCGUCUCAUCAAUCCAAUGAAGGUUGUUCCCCUGACGAAGGAGGAGUGGGUCAAGUGGUCGGACCAGUUCGCCAUCACGCUGCUGCAAGAGUCGCCGUUUCAGGUCUUCCGCUGCACGGCGGUGCCCAUCGGCAUCAACGCAGCCCCGCUGGUCGAGAAAUCGACGCAGUUUGUGCAAGACACACUCCAAAUCGCCUUUCGAUCCAUGUGGAAUUACGCGAGCUCGGCGCUGCAAACCGCUAUCACAGACUUUUUCCGUCAGUCGUUUCGUCAGGCGAUGAUGUCGACCACUGUCCCGGCGGAGGUGGUGACGAUGUUGCUUGGUAUCGUGGAGUACAUGGACCACGUUGGUGAGGCCUUGUUCAUCUCGUACAAUGACCUCUCCGAGUGUGCGUGGAACCGAGGAAUGUUGGCCAAGGCGCUCUUUUGGCGCGAGGCCGCCUACCGCGACGACCCUGUCGGCACCGUCGAGUCGCUCAUCUCUCUCUACAGUGAGCUACACAUGGUGGACUCCUCCGUUGGAAUCUUGAACAUGACGAGCGAGGAGCAGCGGCGCAGCCUGCUGCAGACAAGCCUGGUCAAGCUCGCGCGCUACACGGAGGCGCUCCAGCUGACGCAGCAGGAGCUGGAACUGGAAGCUGCCCCGUUGGAGGAGAGUAGCACCGAGAACUUAUCCAAGGGCUGCGGGUACAAGAACGGCAGCCGCGGCUGGUCUCGCAUGCUGCACUACACGUCCAACAGCGACCUCACCCCGUCCUCCUCAAAGGCGGAGGAGAGCUGUCGCGACCGCCGCGUUGAGGUGAACGCGCGACUGAUGUUGUGCCUGAGCGAGCUUGGCGAGUACGACAAGGUUCUGGAACAGUGGGGCAGCAUGCUCCACAACUACAAGGACCGCGUGACAGAUACAGACGAGAUGCACGUGCUGUUUUUUGUCUCGCAGUACGCCGCAGACGCGUCGAUCCGGCUGCAGUCGUGGGACACGCUGGAGCACGUCCUGGACUGGUUGCCGCCGGACAUGGUUCUCUACCACGUGUCAAAGGCGGCUCUGGAGGUGGUGCGCGGCAACUACGACGCCGCGCUCGUCUCCGUGACGAACGGGCGCAAGGUGCUGCUGGAGGAUCUGACAAGCCUGCUUCACGAGUCGUACGCGCGCGCCUACGAGGGGCUCGUGGUUGCGCAGCAGCUGACGGAGGUGGAGGAGGUCAUCAUAGCGAAGCAGACGCAGAAGGCGCUCAGCUCCGCUGCCCACAUACCGCAUCUCUGCCAUAUCUGGGAGCAGCGCAUUCGAAUGAUGCAUGCGACGGUGCCGACAUGGAAGCAGGUGCUGGGGAUCCGUGGCCUGCUCAUCUCGCCCCAUGAGGACGUGAAGACGCGCAUCCAGUUCACCAAGCUCUGUCGGCAGGAGAAGGCGCGGCAGCUAGAGAAGUUUACGCUGGCCGAGCUCCUCGGGUUCGCCAACCCGACCCUGGAGCAACUCACGAGCCGCAAUGUGAACCCACGCGUGGUGAUGCAGUACAUCUCAUACCUCUCCGAAACCAACGCACUUGGCCCUGGCAGCGCCUUCGGAACCGAGAGCGACCUUAUCAAGAAGAUGAUUGAUGUGCACACCAAGGCAGAAAACUCGGCAGUAUUGGCGCGGGCCUACACGCGUCUCGGCAGCAAGGUCGAUCUCAUCGAGUCGGUGCAAUGCUUCAAGACUGCCAUCAUGUACGAUCCACAGUGGUUUCUGGCAUGGCGUAAGUGGGCCGAAGCGAACGCGCAGCUGCUCCAGACAGACAAGGGCGAAGAAACGUGCCGCAACGCUAUCGAGGGCUUUAUCCGAAGCAUUCAGCUUGGGACGUCCGACUCGACGCUCAUUCAAGACGUGCUCAAGCUGCUGACGCUCUGGUCGAGCCACUGCGACUCUGAUCACAACUUAAAGGAGCUGCGCGAGCGUGUCUUCGAUGUGCCGUCGCGCGUGUGGCACCUUGUGGUACCACAGCUGGUCGCCCGGCUCGACACCGGCUCCGACGACAGCUGCCGGCUUGUGGCGGAUGUCCUGACGAACGUGGGCUACGACUACCCCCACACCUUGGUGUACCCGCUGAACCUGUGCACCAUGUCUGAUUCGGAGCGGCGUAACAGGUACUCCAAUGAGGUGCUGGGCAAGCUGCAGGAGCGGUAUCCGGUGAUUGUGCUGCAGGGUCGUCUCAUGAUUGACGAACUUAUCCGCGUCUCGGCCCUCAUCUACGAGCAGUGGUAUGACAAGCUGGAGGCGGCGGCGACGGCCUUCUUUGGCCGUCGCAGCACCGACGAGAUGAUACGCACGCUGCUGCCGAUUCACGAGACGUUGACACGGGUGCCGGAGACGGUGGUGGAAUCGGAGUUUCUGUCCAAGUACAGCAAGCGUCUGACCGAGGCCCGGGAUUGGCUGCGGUCGUACUCGUCAACGCGCUACACCGGCGACAUUCAAUCUGCAUGGAAGCUGUACCACAGCGUGUACUGCAACAUCGACAAACAGAUCAAAUCGAGCGACACCCUACAGCUGCAGUUCUGCAGUCCGAAGCUGUUUGAGGCGCGCAACCUCUCCAUCGGGAUCCCCGACGCGCGGCCUGUUCGCGAGGAGUCGGUUGCGAAGGUGAACCGCUUUCAGAAAGACAUCAUCGUCAUCGCGAGCAAGCAGCGGCCGAAGCGGAUCGGCAUCAUCACGGCGGAGGGGAGGUUGCAGAAGUUCCUGCUCAAAGGGCGCGAGGAUCUCCGCCUGGACGAGCGCGUCAUGCAGCUCUUCUCGCUAGUCAACAUCCUCAUGCAGUCCGACUCGAGGACGAGCAAGAACUUAGGCUUCCAGAUCCAGCGCUACUCCGUCACGCCGCUAAAAGACAACGUCGGCAUCAUUGGCUGGGUCGACGGCUGCGACACGCUGCACGAGGUCGUCAAGCACUUUCGCGAACGCAAAUCGAUCCCGGUGGAACUGGAGAUGCGCAUGCUGGACCAGAUCAUCACCUUUGACAACUCCAAGGCGUACGACUACCUGACCAUCAUGUCGAAAGUAGAGGUGUUGGAGUUCCUCUCCGAUCACACCUCCGGGCAGGACAUUCGCAAGGCCAUGUGGAACACGUCGCCGAACUGCGAGGUCUGGUACGAUCGGCGCCGCAUGUACACAACGUCCUUGGCGAACAUGAGCAUCGUAGGCUACAUCCUCGGCCUCGGCGACCGCCACCCAAACAACAUCAUGCUGCAGCGCGCGUCUGGAUUGGUGGUGCACAUCGACUUUGGUGACUGCUUUGAGGUUGCCAUGACGCGCGACAAGUUCCCCGAAAAGGUACCGUUCCGAUUGACACGUAUGCUGCGCAGCGCGCUCGACGUGUCGGGUGUCGACGGGGCGUUUCGUGCCUGCUCGGAGACGGCGAUGUGCGUGCUGCGCGAGGGCAGCCACAGCGUGCUGGCCCUCCUCGAGGCAUUCAUUCAAGACCCGCUUAUUUCGUGGCGCCUCAUCAACAGACAUGGGCAGGAGCCCGAGUCGUCGAACGAUCACAAGACUAUCGAACAGCAGGUGAACAUUGCCAACAUGCGCAACGCCACAUCGACGGCGGGAGCGGAAUCCAUGUGUGACUCUGUAGGAAAGCGCGAUAGCGGUACCUUUAGUGUCGCGAAGCACUUGUGUGGGGAGGAGGUGGAUGUGGUGCAUCAGGGUGUGUUCAUCGUCAAGCGCCUCAGCUCCAAGCUCAAAGGGCAGGACUUUAUCUCGGCUGGCACGGAGCCCCUCGACCCACGCACGCAGGUAGGGCAGCUCAUCGAAGAAGCCACAGACGUCACCAACGUGGCACAGUCCUGGUCGGGAUGGUACCCGUUCUGGUAGAUUAGCACCACCGGCAAUCCAGCACUACCACACCACCACCACCAUCACCAUUAGCGCCCAGGCCGGCAGACGCCACGUCGCAUUCUCUCACUGACAUUCGAUGGUCGUCUUCUCGCUCCCCUGCCGCUUCCCGAGUGUUUAUCUCUUUCGUUGUAGCGUGUCUGCGUUUGUGCUGAUCCCUUUGGCUCUAGGUCGCUUUUGCGUGUGCGAUCGUUGUGAUUUCCAUUCCUCGCCUCCUCUUCGACCUCUCCGCCCUCCACCCGUGACUGGUGUACCACGUCAAGUUCUGUUCUCGUUUUCGUUUUUCUGCUUCACGUGUGCGACACAGAAGUCGCUUGUACUGUCCCCUCUCGCCCGCGUCUGCAGAGAAUGCGGGUGAGGAUCCGCAAGUGCAACGACAAGUGAGCAUCAUGGAAGGGGCUGCUCGGCAGUGUCCAGCUUAUCGCUCGAGCACAUGGCGUACUCGACGUGCUCAGAUGCGGUUAAGGUGGCGUCUAUCUGCGUCCUUGUAGGAUGGGCCGUGCCAUCACACGGACACCGCCUGCCACGUGAAGCACCGAAUGCAGCGCCGGCACGGCAUCCGGGCGUGUCGUUCACGGCCGCUGACGCUCUUCUUUCAUUGCACCUUCAUGCUUCUCCGCCCUCUUUGCGCCCGCGCCCGGCCGCCGCACUCAUGCCUCCCUCCUCCUCCUCGAUCCAAG
rnacentral:misc_RNA from 1 species